rnacentral:rRNA from 1 species
GAUGAACGCUGGCGGCGUGCUUAACACAUGCAAGUCGAACGGAAAGGCCCUGCUUUCUUGGGGUGCCCGAGUGGCGAACGGGUGAGUAACACGUGAGUAACCUGCCCUUGACUUUGGGAUAACUUCAGGCAACUGGGGCUAAUACCGGAUAGGAGCUGCUGCUGCAUGGUGGGGGUUGGAAAGUUUCGGCGGUUGGGGAUGGACUCGCGGCUUAUCAGCUUGUUGGUGGGGUAGUGGCUUACCAAGGCUUUGACGGGUAGCCGGCCUGAGAGGGUGACCGGGCACAUGGGGACUGAGAGACGGCCCAGACUCCUACGGGAGGCAGCAGUGGGGAAUAUUGCACAAUGGGCGGAAGCCUGAUGCAGCAACGCCGCGUGCGUGAUGACGGCCUUCGUGUUGUAAACCGCUUUCGGCUGUGACGAAGCGUGAGUGACGGUAAUGGGUAAAGAAGCACCGGCUAACUACGUG